UCCAGAGGACGGCCCAGUUAGGACGUGGUGACGUUCACGCAGCCCCCACCCCCACCCUUUCGGAUCUCCAUUAGGAGCGCAAGCAGCAAGCGGGUUUGGGGCAAGAGGUAACCCUGCCUGGCUUGGCAUUUGAGGUACUCCUCUUCUGAGCAUCCUGCAUGCUGGGAUUACAAGCAUGAGCCACUUCUGGAAACUGAACCCCAAAACCUCCUCACUCAUCAAUGGCGAGCAUUCUGCCACUGAGUGUUCAGCUUCACUAGAACAUCAGCUCAAAAAAAAAAAAAAAAUCAACCACAUCCAUCAUUAUAAAAAAAAUGCAAUAA